rnacentral:rRNA from 1 species
AUUGAACGCUGGCGGCAAGCCUAACACAUGCAAGUCGAACGAGUGGCGGACGGGUGAGAUAUGUCUGGGAAAGUGCCUGAUGGAGGGGGAUAACUACUGGAAACGGUAGCUAAUACCGCAUACCAUCGGAUGUGCCCAGAUGGGAUGAGCUAGUAGGUGGGGUAAAGGCUCACCUAGGCGACGAUCCCUAGCUGGUCUGAGAGGAUGACCAGCCACACUGGGACUGAGACACGGUCCAGACUCCUACGGGAGGCAGCAGUGGGGAAUAUUGCACAAUGGGCGCAAGCCUGAUGCAGCCAUGCCGCGUGUAUGAAGAGGGCCUUAGGGUUGUAAAGUACUUUCAGCGGGGAGGCGUUACCCGCAGAAGAAGCACCGGCUAACUCCGUGCCAGCAGCCGCGGUAAUUC